rnacentral:rRNA from 1 species
AGCGAACGCUGGCGGCAGGCUUAACACAUGCAAGUCGAGCGGGCAUCCUUGUGGUGUCAGCGGCAGACGGGUGAGUAACGCGUGGGAACGUGCCCUUCGGCUCGGAAUAACUCAGGGAAACUUGAGCUAAUACCGGAUACGUGCGAGAGCAGAAAGGUUUAUCUGCCGAAGGAUCGGCCCGCGUCUGAUUAGCUAGUUGGUGAGGUUACGGCUCACCAAGGCGACGAUCAGUAGCUGGUCUGAGAGGAUGAUCAGCCACACUGGGACUGAGACACGGCCCAGACUCCUACGGGAGGCAGCAGUGGGGAAUAUUGGACAAUGGGGGCAACCCUGAUCCAGCCAUGCCGCGUGAGUGAUGACGGCCUUAGGGUUGUAAAGCUCUUUUCUCCGGGACGAUAAUGACGGUACCGGAGGAAUAAGCCCCGGCUAACUUCGUG